rnacentral:rRNA from 1 species
CCUACGGGAGGCAGCAGUCGAGAAUCAUUCACAAUGGGGGAAACCCUGAUGGUGCGACGCCGCGUGGGGGAAUGAAGGUCUUCGGAUUGUAAACCCCUGUUAUGCGGGAGCAAAGUAAAAAGAGAGUACCACAAGAGGAAGAGACGGCUCACUCGGUGCCAGCAGCCGCGGUAAUACAGAGGUCUCAAGCGUUGUUCGGAAUGACUGGGCGUAACGCGUGCGGAGGCUGUUGCGUUAGUCGGGUGUGAAAGGCGCGGGCUCAACCCGCGGACGGCACAUGAUACUGCGAGACUAGAGUACUGGAGCGGGAACCGGAAUUCUCGGUGUAGCCGUGAAAUGCGUA